rnacentral:rRNA from 1 species
GAUGAACGCUGGCGGCGUGCCUAACACAUGCAAGUCGAGCGAAGCGCUUAAAUUAGAUUUCUUCGGAAUGACGAUUUUUGUGACUGAGCGGCGGACGGGUGAGUAACGCGUGGGUAACCUGCCUCAUACAGGGGGAUAACAGUUAGAAAUGACUGCUAAUACCGCAUAAGACCCCAGCUUCGCAUGAAGCGGUGGUAAAAACUCCGGUGGUAUGAGAUGGACCCGCGUCUGAUUAGCUAGUUGGUAAGGUAACGGCUUACCAAGGCGACGAUCAGUAGCCGACCUGAGAGGGUGACCGGCCACAUUGGGACUGAGACCCGGCCCAGACUCCUACGGGAGGCAGCAGUGGGGAAUAUUGCACAAUGGGGGAAACCCUGAUGCAGCGACGCCGCGUGAAGGAUGAAGUAUUUCGGUAUGUAAACUUCUAUCAGCAGGGAAGAAAGUGACGGUACCUGACUAAGAAGCCCCGGCUAACUACGUG